rnacentral:tRNA from 3 species
UAGAUUAAAGCUCGCUGGAUAGAGUAUUUAGCUGUUAACUAAAGUGUUACGGGAUCGAGGCCCGUUAUUCUAG